AGGGCACUCCGGCAAGUCCUCCUCCUCCUCAGCUCCUUGAGGUAGCUCCCCUUGCUGUCCUUCCGGCUCCGGCAACUCGAACUCCAGCACCGUCACGCCCUUGGGUACACCUAUGGAUGCAUGACAAGGAGAUGAAUAUAGAGAAUGCACAUAUGAAGCAUGAUGCCAUGAUGAAGAGCCAAAGGGACAUAAACAAGGUAUAACAAGUAAUGCAUACUGUUGACACUUGCUAACACCACUUGAAUACUAAGUUGUCAUCCCCAGCGUGGCACUAGAGUGUACUAUGGUAUUUAUACGCACACAGAUAAUCCGCAAGCGCACGGAUACCGUUGAAGCUUUUACCCGGUUAAAGGUUUUAUCGUAUCCACAGGGAAACGGGAGAACUGAUCUACGCUCUAACUUAAUCAAGAUAAGUAAAUAGGUGUGAAUAGGAAAGAUGGUAGAAUCGAAUAAGAACAAUAUUAAAGGUAAGAUAACAGUGAGUGAUAAUAUGGGAAUAGAGAGUAGAGCAAUUCUAGUAUAUGGGCGAUGGUAGCAGAAUAGAGAGAAUAACUAUGGUUUCUCUACUUCAAAGGGGUAUGUCUAUGUCUGGGACGAACCACGUGAUAAGAGUACACCACAAAGGAUGCUUAUCCAUAGGCCGAUAAACCCUACCCGUCCUGCUAACGAGAGGUGGACUACAGGGGACCAACGUAACUGUCACCUACGCGGCCUACCACACGAUCCAGCUAGUCAGGGGAUAUCCACAAGUAAUCUAGGUCUAAGCACCACGCUUACACCUAUACUACAACUCUAACCUAUAGGGUCCUAUAGAUUAGAAGUACUCAAAAGAGUUGUGAACCAGAACAUACAUGAUUAGUAAUUGCAUAAUGAAUUAGAAGUAGAUUACCAGAGUCAUCCCAUGAGCAAGCUUGAUUAGAGCUUGAUCAUGGCGAAGUACACCGGAGGAAGAACCGACAGGCCGGCCUCUCCUCUAAUCCUCCUUCGCUCUCCAUCUGUCUACUAUCUAGAUCUACUCUAGUUUAGAGAAGAGAGGAGAGCUCUCAUCUCUAAACCCUAGCUUUUGCUCUGUCUAUGAAUAAUGAAUAAUGAUCAAGGGGGUGCCUCCUCCAGGGGCCAGGGGGUCUGGUUUUAUAGUCCCCUCAAGUGAACCUGGGCCGUCGGUUCAAACCGACAUUGAUUGAACGGUUAUUCUUGAUCCUUUAGGUCGGUGGAGCAUAAUCCGCGAGAUUGAGCGUGAUUGGCCGAAAAAGGUGGGCGGGCGCCCUGUCCCUGACUCCGUUCGGUCUCCGCUUCCUUCCCGUGGCUUCUGGAGUCUUCUAGAUGUAAGAUAAUUGCGCGGCACAUUGAUAUCUCUAUGUAAUCCCGACGUGUGGGCCUUUCUUCCUUAUUUCCUGAUAACCCCUAUAGAAAUAGACAAACACCAAAACUCGUGGAAUUCUGUAAGAUAAAACCCUAAGUCUCGAUGUUGAUUUCAUUUGGAUCCUUUUCUUUGUUUAUUUGAUAGUUAAAUUUGAUACUUAAGGACCGUCAACAAACUCCCCCAAGCUUACCUCUUGCUCGUCCCUGAGCAAGGAUAGACUCAGCAAAGGAUCAGAAGUUGUUGCAAUAUCUUAAAAAUUUAACGGUACACAUGCUUUUAAAUAAGAUCUCAUCUCUGAGUUAGAGUAAACUGUCAAGACUUAAAACUUACUUACUUUACCUUUCACCAUGGGACUUGUAACCGUCACUUCUGUCUUGAGUAGUUAAAAGAUAGAACAGUCCAGUCAAGUGCCAUGUCGCUUAUUCUUGAUCAGCUAUAGCUCUGGAGUUUUUGCAGAUUUUCAAAUAAAACUCAGAGAUUCCUUUGUAUGACUCUCUCAUAUCUCUCUUUUGUGGUAUUUCUGGAUCCUUACCAAGGCAGUGAUGGUAUAUGCCUUCUCUCAAGAUAUGUAGUAUUUGUGGUAUAAGGGAUAGUGACAUUGUCUUCUCUCUCACCCUACUCUAAUAAGGCUUUAAUAUCUGGAGCUCAUAGGUGGGAGAUAAAAUAUACAUACUUACAAGACAUUUAUUGUAUAGUCAAACCAUGGAUCCAAAGAAACAAAUCAAUAAGCCAAAUCAAGAUGUGCAUGUGUGGCGAAUGAAUAGUGUAUGGUGAUGAUGGUGAUAACAAUGGUGAAAGUCUAAUUCUACUUUUGCUCUUUUGAGGGGAUACAUACCUUCCUUGCUUUUUGAAACUUUAUGAGGAUAAUGAGAUGCUCUUCUUUUUCUUUCCUCUCGGGUGGGUAUCUUGUACCCCUAAUUCUACUGUCAGACACUUGUCCAUUUUU
rnacentral:lncRNA from 1 species